rnacentral:lncRNA from 1 species
AUGCCACUGGGAGCCGGUGUAUCCCGUCAAGUCACUCAUCAGGUCACCGCAAAGCGACUGAACGAAGGCUGGGGUCACCAUGAACGUCCCCCCCCACACCGCCCCCCACUGAGCCCACCUCUCCAGCUCAUCCCUGUCGCCGUGGGGCCUGAAAGGUCAGCUGUCAUCGAGACUCAUUACGAGGAACAGAAACUGGACCAGACAGGAAGAGUGUGUGUGGGUGUGCAUGUGCGUGUGCUUGUUUGUGAUACGACUGAAGGUGGAUGAUUCAGGCUGCACACGCUCUAGACUCUGUCAAAGCCUUUCUCUCACACACACACACACACACACACACACACACACACACACACACACACACACACACACACACAGACUGUGACUCCUAAUGUUUGUUCUGCUUUCUGUGAUUCUUGAUCCAGGCAGAGCCAGUUCAUCACCCUCACUGACACAGAUUUACUACUGUGUCCUUGCCCACGUCUGAGCUCCUGAGAUCCACCUUCGCUCGCUGGCAGCCAGAUUGUGUCAGGCAUGUGGCGCCUCCGCCCACCACCACGUUUUUUUUAUUCAGAGCCAUAAAACAAGCAGCAUGAUCUAUGUUUUUUACUGCUAAUCGCGUGUCCCUUCGUCCUAAUUAAGCUGGUUUGCCCAAACCGGAAGCUCAACGGGACACGCACCUUCCACUGCACCACGUCACGAAGGGUGUGUGUGCGUGUGCGUGUGUGUGUGUCACGCAGCCCACGCGCACGUGUAUCCCGCUGUCAGCGAAUUCUUCAGAGAGAUAACCUUGAAGGAAAGGCUGUGUGCUCAGCUCUGAUACUGAAUACCAAGCUGAGGCAGGCUCAGCGUCUGCGUGGCUGGAGCUUCAGGGAGACCUUUAGCCACUUCUGCAGCACUUAAUCCCAGGGUUGCCGUGAGGUGAGGUGGGCUGGAGUGGAGGCACUGCUCAGAUCGCUGAUGCUCGACUCCGGAAUCGCUUCCCUCUGUAAAUUCACAUACUGUAUUUGGAUCUGAUAAUUCCCUAAAUUCCCACACACGGCUCUAGGAUGCAUCCUGAUUGGCUGCGUGUCAGCGUUGGGCUUUGUUGCUGUUGCUCUCAGCCAGUGGCCUCUACCUCUACUCCCCCAGUCCGCCUUCCUCCCCUUCCUCACGCUGCACUUUCUCCCUGCCAUUUAGCCCAAGUUAAUGGACUCCUGCGCAUUCAGCUUAGCAAUGUUGUGAAAUAAACAGCAGCUCAUGAAAUAUUCA